UUCUUUAAGAAAUAAUUUAAAGUAUUUCCUGCUCAAUGUUAACAUCAAUAGCCGCAGUUUCACUGUGCUAAGGUAGCAUAAUCACUUGCUUUAUAAUUGAAAGAUAGAAUGAAAGGAUCGACGAUACAUCACUCUCUCAAAUCCCCAAAUGAACUUGACUUUUGUGUAAAAAAGCACAAAUAAAUAAAUAAGACGACAAGACCCUGAUAAACUUCAUCAUUUAAUUGGGGCGAUAACAUAAAAAUACCUUAUUUAUCCAACAACCACAACCAUUAAAAUAGAUAAAGACUAGUUACUACAGGGAUAACAGCGCAAUCUUUCUCUAGAGCUCACAUCCAAAGAAAAGCUUACGACCUCGAUGUUGAAUUAACCACCUAAUAUGGCGCAAAAGCCUCUUAAGAUAGUCUGUUCGACUAAUAAACAGUU
rnacentral:rRNA from 1 species